UAGGGAAUCUUCGGCAAUGGACGAAAGUCUGACCGAGCAACGCCGCGUGAGUGAAGAAGGUUUUCGGAUCGUAAAACUCUGUUGUUAGAGAAGAACAAGGACGUUAGUAACUGAACGUCACCUGACGGUAUCUAACCAGAAAGCCACGGCUAACUACGUGCCAGCAGCCGCGGUAAUACGUAGGUGGCAAGCGUUGUCCGGAUUUAUUGGGCGUAAAGCGAGCGCAGGCGGUUUCUUAAGUCUGAUGUGAAAGCCCCCGGCUCAACCGGGGAGGGUCAUUGGAAACUGGGAGACUUGAGUGCAGAAGAGGAGAGUGGAAUUCCAUGUGUAGCGGUGAAAUGCGUAGAUAUAUGGAGGAACACCAGUGGCGAAGGCGGCUCUCUGGUCUGUAACUGACGCUGAGGCUCGAAAGCGUGGGGAGCAAACAGG
rnacentral:rRNA from 2 species